UGGGGAAUAUUGCACAAUGGAGGGAACUCUGAUGCAGCGACGCCGCGUGAACGAAGAAGGCUUUCGAGUCGUAAAGUUCUUUUAUAUGGGAAGAUAAUGACGGUACCAUAAGAAAAAGCCCCGGCUAACUACGUGCCAGCAGCCGCGUUAAUACGUAGGGGGCUAGCGUUGUCCGGAAUCACUGGGCGUAAAGGGUUCGCAGGCGGAAAUGCAAGUCAGGUGUAAAAGGCAGUAGCUUAACUACUGUAAGCAUUUGAAACUGCAUAUCUUGAGAAGAGUAGAGGUAAGUGGAAUUUUUAGUGUAGCGGUGAAAUGCGUAGAUAUUAAAAAGAAUACCGGUGGCGAAGGCGACUUACUGGGCUCAUUCUGACGCUGAGGAACGAAAGCGUGGGUAGCAAACAGG
rnacentral:rRNA from 1 species